rnacentral:RNase_P_RNA from 1 species
UGAGCAGUACAGACGGUCGCUGGCGCAUUGCGCGAGAGGAAAGUCCGGGCUUCACAGGGCAGGAUGCCGGCUAACGGCCGGUGGGAGCGAUCCUAAGGAAAGUGCAACAGAAAGUAUACCGCCGCGAAAGCGGUAAGGGUGAAAUGGCAGUGUAAGAGACUACCGGGCCUCCGGUAACGGAGACCGCAUUGUAAACCCCAUCCGAAGCAAGUCCAUGAAGGAACUUUAUGGCUGCCCGCCAUGUUCCGGGUAGGACGCUUGAGUUCUGCGGCAACGCAGUUCCUAGAUAGAUGACCGUCCAAGACAUAACCCGGCUUACAGUACUGCUCUUUUU